rnacentral:rRNA from 1 species
GAUGGACCCGCGUCUGAUUAGCUAGUUGGUGAGGUAACGGCCCACCAAGGCGACGAUCAGUAGCCGGCCUGAGAGGGUGAACGGCCACAUUGGGACUGAGACACGGCCCAAACUCCUACGGGAGGCAGCAGUGGGGAAUAUUGCACAAUGGGGGAAACCCUGAUGCAGCGACGCCGCGUGAAGGAAGAAGUAUUUCGGUAUGUAAACUUCUAUCAGCAGGGAAGAAAAUGACGGUACCUGACUAAGAAGCCCCGGCUAACUACGUGCCAGCAGCCGCGGUAAUACGUAGGGGGCAAGCGUUAUCCGGAUUUACUGGGUGUAAAGGGAGCGUAGGCGGUAUGGUAAGUCAGAUGUGAAAACCCAGGGCUCAACCCUGGGACUGCAUUUGAAACUGCCAGACUAGAUUGCAGGAGAGGUAAGUGGAAUUCCUAGUGUAGCGGUGAAAUGCGUAGAUAUUAGGAGGAACACCAGUGGCGAAGGCGGCUUACUGGACUGUAAAUGACGCUGAGGCUCGAAAGCGUGGGGAGCAAACAGGAUUAGAUACCCUGGUAGUCCACGCC